AGUGAACGCUGGCGGUAGGCCUAACACAUGCAAGUCGAACGGCAGCACAGUAAGAGCUUGCUCUUACGGGUGGCGAGUGGCGGACGGGUGAGGAAUACAUCGGAAUCUACUUUUUCGUGGGGGAUAACGUAGGGAAACUUUCGCUAAUACCGCAUACGACCUACGGGUGAAAGCAGGGGAUCUUCGGACCUUGCGCGAUUGAAUGAGCCGAUGUCGGAUUAGCUAGUUGGCGGGGUAAAGGCCCACCAAGGCGACGAUCCGUAGCUGGUCUGAGAGGAUGAUCAGCCACACUGGAACUGAGACACGGUCCAGACUCCUACGGGAGGCAGCAGUGGGGAAUAUUGGACAAUGGGCGCAAGCCUGAUCCAGCCAUACCGCGUGGGUGAAGAAGGCCUUCGGGUUGUAAAGCCCUUUUGUUGGGAAAGAAAAGCGGCAGGUUAAUACCCCGCUGUUCUGACGGUACCCAAAGAAUAAGCACCGGCUAACCUCGUG
rnacentral:rRNA from 1 species